rnacentral:hammerhead_ribozyme from 1 species
GCACUGCUGAGGAAUCCCACACUAGGACGAAACAGCCGUCCAGUGC